UACGUAGGGUGCGAGCGUUAAUCGGAAUUACUGGGCGUAAAGCGAGCGCAGACGGUUAUUUAAGCAGGAUGUGAAAUCCCCGGGCUCAACCUGGGAACUGCGUUCUGAACUGGAUAGCUAGAGUGUGUCAGAGGGGGGUAGAAUUCCACGUGUAGCAGUGAAAUGCGUAGAGAUGUGGAGGAAUACCGAUGGCGAAGGCAGCCCCCUGGGAUAACACUGACGUUCAUGCUCGAAAGCGUGGGUAGCAAACAGG
rnacentral:rRNA from 1 species